UUCAUAGCAUUGCUUUCAGUGAGUUGGUGUGAUCGAAGCAGUUUUGCAUUUCUCAUUGUAUUUGUAUAGAAAAGAAGAAGUGUGCAAUAUGUCUGGCAGUGACAGUGCCUGUGAGGCUGCUGAUCGUGCAAAAGCUUUUGGGCAGGAGAAGAGCUACCAAGCUCAACAACAUGCCCAAGGUGUGAAGGAGAGUGCUGAGGAAAAGGCUUCACAGUUCUCCCUGCAGAGCGAGGAGAAAGCAGGAGGAACUCCUGAAAUGGUUAAGGAAUAAACUGGCUCUAUAUACUAACAGGCUGGGGAGAAGGUGAAGGGAGUGAUGCAGGGAGCAACAGAAACUGGGUAUGUUUAUCUCUGGUUUUAAUUUGAGCAGUGUAGUGGCCAUUGUUCAGUGUUGACUAGUAGAAGAUGUUUCAGUACUGCUCAUCUGCUUGCGUUUGUUUUGUUCUUGUGUAUAAUAAAAAUGGGUUGUUGUUCUGUAGACAAUUCUUCAUCAAUAUCAAUCAUUUUUUGUCAAUCAGUUUUAUGUCAGAUCAUCAGUGUCUCAUCUUUUUAUUCAAAAGAUGUGAGAUGAAGAUGAAUCCCAAGUGGGGAUGUAUAGGUUGUUGCAGAUUGAAUGAUUGGAAGUUAAGAAUUUGUAUUUGAUUCACAAUAUUUUUUUGGAUUGAGAAAUAUAUUUAAGUUUUUAUUGA